AGUGAACGCUGGCGGUAGGCCUAACACAUGCAAGUCGAACGGCAGCACAGUAAGAGCUUGCUCUUACGGGUGGCGAGUGGCGGACGGGUGAGGAAUACAUCGGAAUCUACUUUUUCGUGGGGGAUAACGUAGGGAAACUUACGCUAAUACCGCAUACGACCUACGGGUGAAAGCAGGGGAUCUUCGGACAUGGCGCGAAUGGAUGGGCCGAUGUCGGAUUAGCUAGUUGGCGAGGUAAAGGCCCACCAAAGCGACGAUGCGUAGCUGGUCUGAGAGGGUGAACGGUCACACGGGAACUGAGACACGGUCCAGACUCCUACGGGAGGCAGCAGUGGGGAAUAGUGCAAAAUUGAGGGAACUAUGAAGCAGCGACGCCGCGAGAGCGAUGAAGGAAGUCGUUUCGGAAAAAGCUGUUCUAUGGGAAGAAAAGGACUGUACCAUAGGAGAAAGCUCCGGCUAAAUACGUG
rnacentral:rRNA from 1 species